GUUUGGUCCACUGCGCAUGCUGCUAUAUGGACCAUUUUAGAUACAUCGUCAGCAUACAGUUACAACUAGCAUAACGCCAAAAGAGAAGAUUGGCCGGGAAGUGUCGCUGUUCUUUUAUCUAAUUCCCACAGGUAAUGUGCCCGAGUACACAAGGAUUUGUUUGAAACCAUGCUUCCAAAAUCGAAGUAAAUAUGAAUUUAAUUGCCAACUCCACCCAUUAUAAUCAAUUGAAAAUUACCAAGGAAGUUCUAAAUGUUAUGGAAAAAAAUGGAAUUAAAUAAUUCCGUAGUUAUUAACCAACUACAUGUACUAGGGUUAAUUUGAAAACUAUUUUUAGGGCCAUGGGUGAAAUAAUUUUACACCUCCAUUAAUAACGCAUUUGGAAUGUAAAUUGUAUAAAAGUAAAAACAUAUAAAACUUUAUUUUUUCAAAUUAUAAGCAUUAAUUAUUGAAGCAAUGAAGCAGCACCUAAUUGAUGAAUAUGCAUUUCAUAGUCAGUUGUAUUCUUAUACAAUUCAUUUGAUGCCCAAUAACCGAUUAUAUAUAUUUAUGUUUCUACAUCCCAGUCUUCUAUUUUAAAGUUUUAUAGUUAUUUUAUAUCAAUUGCAUUCCAAAUGUGUGUACCACGCCUACCUAUGUAUCUACCAUUUAUUAUGGAAAUCAAAUAUUCCUUCAUUGAAUCACUAAGAUCUGGGAGUUCAGGCAUUACUGUUCUUAGAUAUAUGUUUUUUAAUUUACAUGUAUUAUUAAAACUUCAUAUAUAUGUUAUCUUAAUAAAUAAAUCUGGAAGUACCA
rnacentral:lncRNA from 1 species